CAUAAAAUUAAAACCACUAUAAACACAGGACUAAAAUGAGAUCUGACCUCAAACACUGAACCGAAACAAACCUCAACUGAACCAGCACCCAAAUGGAACCAAGUGAAUGGAUACACAUAUAAAAGAAUAGGCAUAUAAACAUAUAGAGACACCCACAACCGGGGGCCAAAAACUACACAUAAACAAAUAAAAGAUCUUAUAUAGCAAACAAAACAGACAUAAGCUCUGAACCCGCCAAAAAACCCCGAACCAAAUAGGAGGCUUAUGGGAAAACUUUACAGAUAUAAUAGGACAUAACAAUAUAACAUUAAUCUUUAACAUGUCAGGACCUGCCUUCUUAUGUUAUCAUUGAAAGCAGAUGUCCUUAAACCUGAGCACAGGUUGAAAUUUAGUGGGAUUGACCUUUAACAAGAGGAGAUGUGGCAAGCAGAUAAAGCCACACCCACCGUGAGAAAAAAUGGAACUGACAACUGAACUAAGGCCACUCCGGUGAACAGACAACUCAGUCAGGGUACCAAACGUCUCAGAACCAAACCUAACAGAACAAUGCCCCACAACCAAAAUACUUCACCAAAACCAAAAUUGAACAUAAACUGCACUCUCUAACCUAAACACAAAUUAAUAUACACCCCCGGGACCAUCUCUAUCCCACUACCCCUACCCUGACCCUAACCACUCGACAUCUCAGGCCCUAAACAUAACCUCAAGCCGCCCACUCGUGUUACCCUGGCCCUAAACUUAACCAUCAAAGACUUAAUGCCAAAUCUCAACCCUCACACCCUAACCCAUACCCCUACCCUGACACUAACCACUCCACAUCUCUGGCCCUAAACAUAACCUCAAGCCGCCCACUCGUGUUACCCUGGCCCUAAACUUAAUCAUCAAAGACUUAAUGCCAAAUCUCAACCCUCACACCCCAAUCCAUACCCCUACCCUGACACUAACCACUCCACAUCUCUGGCCCUAAACAUAACCUCAAACCUUAAGCCACCUAUUUGCAUUACCCUGGUCCUAACCUUAACCAUCUGGAACUUGAGGCCCAAUCUCAACCCUCACACCCCAACCCUACCUAAGGCCAACCCAUAUCCCUACCCUGACCCUAACCAUUCCACAUCUCUGGCCCAUCUGUGAUACCGUGGCCCCAACCUUAACCACUCGGGACUCAAUGUCUAAACCAUAACCCCUGGCCACCUGACUCAAAUUUUGACCAAUCUAAACCUAACAAGGUCAAACCCUAAUCAAGGACCCAGAUCCCAUAAUCCGCACCCCAACUCUGAAGGUUAUUGUACAUUUAUUUUCUGUGCAAAAAGGAGCAAUCUCUACACAGAGUGUCAACGCAGUCUGAGGGGGAAAAGGCUCAAUGAACUGAAUAUGACAGCACAUCUUCUUACAGUAUAUUAUAACGGAUGUCCAAACAGAUAAGGGGAACACAUUACCUUUUAAAUCAAGAGAUCAUCCCUCUGCCCAGGUCACAUCAGUUUCAAUAGUCACAAGUUGUUUUUGACAGCUUUUCCAUGGCCCCCAUUCGCUCACAUAGCUAUGCAGCGUUUUACCCCCUCUCAGACAUGUCGUUUUUCCAUCUGCAUUCAUAGAUGAUGACAUAGCACCUGUUUUUGGAGAUAAAUGUAACAAGAUCUCUGUCACAAUGUAUUUGUAAGAGACAGCAGAACCGCUGUCUCAUCAUCAACGACAAACACUAGGCUUACAGACAACAGCCACAAAUUCCAUUAUAAAUAGUGCUUGUUUAAAGAGUGUUUUGAGGGUGUGCAGACACGUACAUCAGCAUGGAUCCAGGUAGCCUCUGAAAAAGAAAUGCGUUUAUUUUCUGUUUUACUAAAAAAAACUGUGUUAAUGCGAUCAUUUUCAUACACAUUAGCGUGAGCAUAUCACAACAUUAACUCUGUGCGUCUUGAAGAAUAAGUUCGUAAAUAUUCCGCUACAUUUUUUAUCCUUUUGUAUAUUCGUUUUCUUUUUUCUGAAAAACUGUUUUAUACUGGUCAGACAGCUAUUUGAGGGUGUAUGAGCAAACUUUGCGUCAACAACAACAAGGGUUGGUGCACCACCGAGGCAGGACCGUGGGGCAUUCGGAAGCCGGCAUUCAGCGUCAACCACCCCUAACUGGCCUGGCUUUGGAAAUUCCUGACUGUGUAUUACUGCAAUGCGACCCCGGCUCUAACGCCGACCCGGAAGAACAGCAGCAGCUGAAUCAAAAAGGGCUGGGGCCUCCAAGGCAAUGAGGAGCAACAACAACUAGGAAUUCAGACAGCGCCGCUUCAAGAUGACCCAGAGCAACCGGAUCAGGACCGACAAGUGACCCCUGAAGAAUCUGCACUGUUGCAGCUUGAGGAAUGAUGCUUGAGCAGGACUUUGGGCAGACCAAGUCACACAAAAUGCCAGCGUUCUUCCUCUUCUGAUUCUUCAUCAGAUUCCAGCUCUCGUCGGAGGAGGAGCAGGAGGCGUACGCACGUCUGUAGAUGUUCUGGAAGAGGAGACCUCGGUCGUGAUGACAGAAGCUUCAUCCCCGAUGCGAGGUGUCAUUCCAACAUCAUGCUGAUGCAUCUCAACCGGUUAUUUUGUGAAUCCUUUCAAGUGAUGGGUGAUAUUCUUGCUUGUUACAACAACAGUGUGAUUAAAAAGUAAGAUGGAUGAUGAUAACUAUGAUGUGAAUGAUGUGUCCAGGAAUGAGAGUGUUGAUGCGGUUCAUUUUGAUUGAUUAGACACGUUAAUCAGUCGAUUGUUGAUAAACCAUUCCUCAAUGUUAUUGACAAUGUUU